AACUCAGUAGCAUCUUCAGACACUUCUUAAAGUGACACGGUUGUGGCCGAGCUGAAGGUGAUGGCAGCCUGUGGAGGAGAGACUUCAGCAUGCAAACCUCCAUCUGUUCGGCUUGCACCGUCAUUUUCAUUCCAUGCUGCUGGCCUUCAGAUGGCUGCACAGAUGCCCCAUUCACAUCAGUACAGGGACCGUCGCCAGCCAGACAUAAGUGACCAACAGGUUUCUGCCUUACCUUAUUCUGAUCGGAUUCAGCAACCUCUAACUAACCAGGUGAUGCCUGAUAUUGUCAUGUUACAGAGGCGGAUGCCCCAAACCUUCCGUGAUCCAGCUACUGCUCCCCUGAGAAAACUUUCUAUUGACUUGAUCAAAACAUAUAAGCAUAUUAAUGAGGUAAGACUAUU